rnacentral:rRNA from 1 species
GCAAGUCGAACGCGAAAGCGCCUUCGGGUGUGGUAGAGUGGCGGACGGGUAGUAACGCGUGGGAAUCUGCCCUGCAGUGGGGGACAACCCGAGGAAACUCGGGCUAAUACCGCAUACGUCCUAUGGGAGAAAGGGGGCCUUCGGGCUCUCGCUGCAGGAUGAGCCCGCGUCCGAUUAGCUUGUUGGUGGGGUAAUGGCCCACCAAGGCUGCGAUCGGUAGCUGGUCUGAGAGGAUGAUC